GACGAACGCUGGCGGCGUGCUUAACACAUGCAAGUCGAACGGAAAGGCCCUGCUUUUGUGUGGUGCUCGAGUGGCGAACGGGUGAGUAACACGUGAGUAACCUGCCCUUGACUUUGGGAUAACUUCAGGAAACUGGGGCUAAUACCGGAUAGGAGCUCCUGCUGCAUGGUGGGGGUCGGAAAGUUUCGGCGGUUGGGGAUGGACUCGCGGCUUAUCAGCUUGUUGGUGGGGUAGUGGCUUACCAAGGCUUUGACGGGUAGCCGGCCUGAGAGGGUGACCGGCCACAUUGGGACUGAGAUACGGCCCAGACUCCUACGGGAGGCAGCAGUGGGGAAUAUUGCACAAUGGGCGGAAGCCUGAUGCAGCAACGCCGCGUGCGGGAUGACGGCCUUCGGGUUGUAAACCGCUUUCGCCUGUGACGAAGCGUGAGUGACGGUAAUGGGUAAAGAAGCACCGGCUAACUACGUG
rnacentral:rRNA from 1 species